UACAGAGGUCCCAAGCGUUGUUCGGAUUCAUUGGGCGUAAAGGGUGCGCAGGCGGCCAUGCAAGACAGAUGUGAAAUCCCCGGGCUCAACCUGGGAACUGCAUUUGUGACUGCAUGGCUAGAGUACGGUAGAGGGGGAUGGAAUUCCGCGUGUAGCAGUGAAAUGCGUAGAUAUGCGGAGGAACACCGAUGGCGAAGGCAAUCCCCUGGACCUGUACUGACGCUCAUGCACGAAAGCGUGGGGAGCAAACAGG
rnacentral:rRNA from 1 species